rnacentral:rRNA from 1 species
AACCAGCCAAGUCGCGUGAGGGAAGAAGGUGCUGAGCAUUGUAAACCUCUUUUUGCCGGGGGAACAAACGCCGUCACGAGCUGGCGGUUUGAGUGUACCCGGAGAAAAAGCAUCGGCUAACUCCGUGCC